rnacentral:rRNA from 1 species
UACGGGGGGAGCAAGCGUUGUUCGGAUUUACUGGGCGUAAAGGGCGCGUAGGCGGCCAGCACAAGUCAGUUGUGAAAUUUCCGAGCUUAACUCGGAAAGGUCAACUGAUACUGUGCGGCUAGAGUGCGGAAGGGGCAACUGGAAUUCUUGGUGUAGCGGUGAAAUGCGUAGAUAUCAAGAGGAACACCUGCGGCGAAGGCGGGUUGCUGGGCCGACACUGACGCUGAUGCGCGAAAGCUAGGGGAGCGAACGGG